rnacentral:lncRNA from 1 species
AUUGCAGAAUUCUCGUUGAAAAAUUUCAGCGGGUUACGAUGAAAAUUUGUAGCAACAUAAAAUCAUUUUUAGAGAUGAAUUUCUUAAUAGAUCAAUCUUAGAUGGAAGCCAAGAUGAUCUAUGAAGUGUAUAAGAAAUUUCAUUCAAAAAAGAUUGCAAAUAGAUGGGUUAAGGCAACAAUAUGCGGCUAAAAUUUUCUGCAGCACAGAUUUUUAGGUAUAGCAGAUUGGACGUAAAAGAUCAGUGGUUUAUAUUGAGAAUUUUUUGAUGAAACCAAAGG